CAACGAUAUUUUACGUGAUUUAAAUUAAAUCUAUCAUGUUAAACUUUAUUAUGCGAUUUAUUACGCGUAUUAUUAAUAAAUUAAUUAAUUAAUUUCAUAGAGUUUAGAGAUUUAAAAUUUUAAAUUUUGAAGAAAUUUAAAUUAUGUAUUUUUUUAUACAACGAUAUUUUACUUAAUUUAAAUUAAAUCUGUCAUGUUAAAUUUUAUUACGCGAUUUAUUACGUCUAUUAUUAAUAAAAUUAAAUUAAUUAAUUUCAUAGAGUUUAGAGGUUUAAAAUUUUAAAAUUUGAAGUUAUAAAAUUGAAAAUAAAUAUUAUAAGUUAAAAUUAAAAUUUAGAAUUUAAAAUAUUUUUGAUAAUGACGCAAUAUAAUUAACAAUUUAAAAUGUCGGUUUCGUAGAUUAUUUCGUGUUUUUUUUUAUUUUGAUUGAUUGUACCCUUUGCAUCUCCCUUUCUUAACUUGUGCUCUUCGCUUGUUUCCCAUCUCCCUUUGUCCCCAUCAUGCGCUCUUUGAAAAUUUUUUACUAUGAAAGAUGUGAAAAUGUCAUCGAUGUGACGCUCAAUACUCUUAUCGGAUGAGAACGAAGUUAUGAUUGAAUUAUUAAAAAAAAAAUUCAUAUACCCUUAUGUGGUUUCACACUUUUUCACUUUAGUAUCCUAUGAUUUAAAAUGUAUUAAGUUAGCCCAUGUGGUUUCGCACUUUCUCACUUAGUACCAUGUAGUUUAAAGUGUAUCAAGUUAGUAUCCUGUGAUUUUAUUUUUCUCUUUUUAUUAUUCAUUUUACUAAUUUUUUCGUUAAAUCAGUGACAAAGUUAAAGCUAAAGGAUACUAAACUGAAUAUUCGAUAAACCUAGAUAGGGUAUUUGAAGUUUUUUGUAUAUAAUUUAACGAAAUAUUAACGGAGGAAAAAAAAAUCAGUGACAAAUUUAAAAGUAAAGGGUACUAAAAUAAAUAUUCAAUAAACCUAGGUAGGGUAUCUGAAGUUUUUUGUAUAUAAUUUAACGAAAUAUUAACAGAGGAGCCGACGAAAAGAGAAAAAUGAAACCACAGGGUACUAACUUGAUACACUUUAAACCACAGGGUACUAAAGUGAGAAAGUGCGAAAUCCCAGGGGCUAACUUGAUACACUUUAAACCACAGGGUAUUAAAGUGAGAAAGUGUGAAACCACGAGAGGGUAUUUGAAAUUUUUCCUUAUAAAAAUCUAUGGACGUUAGUAAUAAUAACUGUGCUUUAGCAUUUUGGACAAAUGAUUUGGAUUCAACGAGUUACUAUUACUAGUGAACAAUAUCAUUAUAAGUCGAAGGACAGUGAGUCGUAUAUUAUCUCUCCUAAUUAAAUAUUAAAUAAUAAACUUCAAAUAUCAGCCUUGUAGUUUUACAUUAAUUACUGAAGAGAAUAAUAAAAAAAUAAAAAUAAAACCACGAGACACUAAAUUGAUACAUUUUAAACCACAGGUACUAAAUUAAUGCAUAUAUCGAACACGAGUUGAAAUUAGCUCGUUCUUAUUUAAUUUCGAACUCGUUUUGAGCCGAACACGAACUGGCUCGCAAUUCACAACCCUAGUUACGACCCACAGACAACUUAAAUAAACAAAAAAAUAAAAGUAAAAAAAUAAAGCUCUAAUCCCGAUGCGUUGACCGGUUGACCACAAAAUAGUCUUAAAAAUUAUAUCAUGCAACGCGUUUUCUGGUUGACAUUUACCAUGCAACGACACCAACCUCCCUUUCUCUCUCUUCUUUCUCUCUCCUCGUAGUAUUAUUUUUUUAUUUUUUUGGGUAAAAAUGUACGGAGAACCCCUUAACUUUUGAAUNGUAUUAUUAAUAAAAUUAAAUUAAUUAAUUUCAUAGAGUUUAGAGGUUUAAAAUUUUAAAAUUUGAAGUUAUAAAAUUGGAAAUAAAUAUUAUAAGUUAAAAUUAAAAUUUAGAAUUUAAAAUAUAAAAUUUAAAAUUUAAAACUUUAAAAUUUGAAAGUAUCAAAAUUUUAAAUUUUGAUAUCAAAAUUUAAAAUUAUAUAUAUAGAGAGAGAGAGAGAGAAUAAAGGAGGGUUUGGGGGGGAGGGGAGGGGGACACGUGUCACCCUAUAGGCCCCCCAAACCCUCCUUUAAUGUAGUAAGAAUAGAUUAUUAGGAUUUUCAAAUUAUUAAGAUUAUAUGUGAUAUUUGAUUAUUACGAUUGUAUGGAUAGAUUAUUAGGAUCUUUUUAAUUGUUAGGAUUGUAUGGAUAGAUGAUUAGAAUUUUCAGAUUGUUAAGAUUAUAUGUAAUUUGUUGAAAUAUUUAUAUAGUUGUUAGGAUUAUAGAAAAAAAUAAUAAACAAGUGAAAGGCGGUGAAUAAUUCACCGCUUUUUUGAGAAAUUAGGAAAGCGGUGAAGGCGGUGAACUAUUCACCGUCUUUAAGAGAUUAGUUUUUUAAAUAUAAUUUUGGCAAGGUUAUUUCGCAAAUAAUAAAAUUUUAAAAGGUUAUUUUAUAAAAAAGU
rnacentral:lncRNA from 1 species